UACAUUUAUUAGGCUUUUCCCUGGUUUGCUCUAACCAUUAUUCGACAUGUAUUUGCUAAGAAAUCCCUCAGAAAAACACCUGCCCUGCUUGUUUUAAUAGCGUCUCUUUUUUUUUUAAUCACUUUACAAGGCAGUAGUAGUUUACAACAUUUCAUCUUUCCCAUCUCAAAUGCUAACGUAUUGGGGUUUCCGGGAGGCCUUAACCCAGUAGAGUUUCGAAGGAUCUCAGAACUAGUGUCUCAAUCUUUAUAUAUGUAUAUAUAUACAAGAGGGUUUCCGAGUUCUAAACGUAUUGGAUCUCAUAACACUAGUGUUUCGACUGAUAUAAAAUAACAAUCUCAGCUGCCAACAUAAAACCAAAUUCUGUUUACCUAGAACAUGGAUUCAGAUUGGGCAGGGUUAUCCAGGGACCUGGUUGAUUUGAUAUUAGCACGACUGGUUUCCGUGUCUGAUUAUUUGCGAUUUGGAGCGGUAUGCAAAACGUGGCACAGUGUUGCAAUGGACAGAAUCAACAACUUCUGCCUCCACAACUUUCAAUGCUCCUUCUCCCUACCCAUGUCUUCCAAUGCUUCUUGUCCCUAGAGAUGUCCAAGUAUCAGAUUCCACAGACAAACAUUAUGUUGUAGAGUCAACUACAGAGAACUAUUGAUGGUUUGAAGGAUAAUGGAGCAGCAUGAAGGAUUAUGGGUGUCAAGCUCUGGAAACUAAACAACUAUUGCAAGGGAUAGGAAUGGAUGAAGAUGAAAAUCAAGGAGAUUUUGCUUUUCAAUCAUCAUUAAAUUAGUCAAUAAAACCUUCAUUUGAAGAUUGCAUGAACCUAAUCGAUUGCAGCAUUCAUGUCACAAACUAGGAGUUGCCUUAUAGAUAGAGCAACUAAGCUAAAACCAUGCUGAAAAGCUGGAUUGUGAAUAUUAAAACAUAAAUAAUGUACUUCAAUCUAUAAUCUACAUGAUUCAAACAUUAUUACAUCAAACUUGUUACUUACAAAUCAAUAAGUAAUUUGUUCCAAAUGGUAUAACACUAUAUCUAUAUACACACACAGAAUAAUGAACAAUGGCCAAUGCUUCACUACAUAAAACCAAACCAAAGACAUCCUAAAAGCAAAUAUACAAAAGAUCCCAUUUCCUAAACCAGAGGAAUUUGACCCUCAAAAACAACCAAGGACCUUGUUCGGAGUAGUUCCGGUGGCACGGUACUUGGCAGCUAUCUCCUCAGCCUUGAGAAGAUCUUCCCCACGCUUGGCUUCAACCAUAGCUUUCUUCUCUUCUGCUUCCUUGUGGAUUAAGGCUAUUUUGUUUUUCAUUUUCUCCACAUACU